AUGAAAAUUGUUUAUGAGGUUAAUCUACAACCAGCUGUAUCCUGGUAUUUUCCACAUCGUUCUAUGUUCCUUCUUUUUUUUUUAAUUGUUUGGAUUGCUUACCAUGUGUGUGACCUGGUUUUCUAUUCCCCUUCUCAACCUCACCCUGGAGCCUCACGGCCAAAAAGAAAAAAAGAAAAGACUCAUCGUCGACCCGGGCAUACCCGAGCCCUGGUAGGUUUGGCUCUCCUCCCUCGGGCGGCGGCGGCGGCGGCGGCGGCUGAAUCUCCUGCCACCGGAGUCCCUUCUCUUUACCGGCCGGUGGAUUGGCUCCACCCUCCCUCCCAAAUCCCCCGCCCCCGAUCUUCCUCCUCCUCCGCGCCCUACAUCGCCCCCGGCGCCUGA
rnacentral:rRNA from 1 species